rnacentral:lncRNA from 1 species
GGGAAUGUUAUUGUCUCACGUAGUGUUGGUUUGAGUUUUUUCAUAAAGGUGUGGAUCUACUUACCGGAGUUUGAGCAUGGCAAAUACCCCAGGACCAUCUAGUCAGGAUCGCUUAUUCAAGAGUUGCUUAAGAAUAUUUUUAUUUUUAUUUUUAUUUUUUAUUCUUUGAGUCUGUUUUUUUUUUGCGUCGUCUUUUACCUUCUAGUUUUGUACAGCAAUGUCGAGUUUUAUGUUAUUGUACUUUCUAUUUUGUAUUUGAAAAAGUGUUUUAUAUGAAACGCAAAAUCUCUUUUUAAUGGAAAAAAACACUUUUUCUUAUUUUCAUUAGAACUUUAGGAUAUUGUACAUAGACAACAACAACAACAACAACAACAACAACCCAGUGUAAUCCCACAAGUGGGGUCUGGGGAGGGUAAUAUGUACGCAGACCUUACCUCUACCCCGAGGAUAUUGUACAUAGAAGAAAAAGAAAAUAACAUACUUUAUCUUGGUUUAUCUUCAGAGUUUCUCCCUUAGGUAAUCAAACUGAGAUCCAAAAAUAUUUUUUUUAUCUUUUUCAUUUCUUGGUUCGAAAUCUUUCUUUCAGGAUAUCAAACGAAAAUCAAAAUAUAUUUCUUUGGUUUAUUCUUUAGAUUUGCUUCCUAAAAAAAAGAACAAAAUCAAAAAAAAAAUUCUCUUCUAGGGUUUUUUCCUUAAUAAUUUCUCAUAGAGUAUUUGUUUAAAAAAAAGAUAUAUGCUCGUUAAGCUCAAGUUUAGAAUAGGUUAUAGAACAUUAAGUCUAAAAAUUCAUUAAAAAAAGAGAACAUUAGUUUGUUUACUUUAUUUAUGAUAUUUCUAGAACUACGCUUGGUCUGAUUCAUGCGCCGUCAUGAUAUGUAGGCAAAUCCCAUAGGAUUCGAUCAUAAUCGUGAAAUGAAAAGAAGAAAAAAGACAGAAAAAAGAGAAAACAAGAGAAUUGUGGGAGGAAAUAAUAGCAAACCAAGAGAGGAAAAUGAAGGAAUAAAAGAAAAACAAGAAUCAGGCAAAGAAAAGCAGGAAUGAAAAAGAGAGAAGUUGCAAAAUGAAAAUUAGGAAAAGUCGGGAUGAUGCAAGCAACCGAUCAAAUGCAUAAUAGAAAUGGUUAACUGCUUAGGUGAAUUGCAUCCCCAAUGUGCGGUUGCAUAUCUGUUAAGCUCUAAUUGCUAACAAGUUUGUUGUUGUCAUCAAGUCCAGGCAGGCGGUUAGUUUGUUUGGCAUUCUGGCAACUCAUCCAUACAACACCAGGUCCAAAGACAAGUUGAUCAUGGCCAACCAAGAACUAGAUGCAAGUGUUAUUUAUCCAUCAAGAGAGGGGAAAGAGUCUGAUGUUAAUCUGAAAGAGGAGUUGUAUAAGAUGAAAAACCAGAUGGCAUAGAUGUACAAGGCAUGGGUGAAAGGGCAUCCACCACCAUCCUACCCCAUCAACCCUGUUUUCGUCCCGCCGCUGGCUCAAUCCCAAGAACCUCCCACUAUUAAUUCAUCUCCGGGCUUUCCCAUUUAUAACGUGGUGGAAGAAGAACUUGAUGGUGAGCCGUGGUUCCACGACAUUAGGGAGUACAACAGAAUUGGGGUAUAUCCGGUACAGGCUACGGGGGAUCAAAAGAGAACAAUUCCACGUUUGGCAAGUGGGUUUUUCUUCAGCGGGGGAGUUUUGUACAAAAAGAGUCAAGAUCGUGGUUUGUUAAGAUGCAUAGAUGCUAGACAAGCCACGGCUAUCAUGACCGAAGUACAUUUCGGAGUCUGCGAACCGCAUAUGAGAGGGUAUGUUCUGGCAAAAAUAAUUCUCCGAGCAGGUUAUUAUUGGCUCACCAUGGAGCGAGAUUGUAUCAGUUUGUGCGCAAGUGUCAUCAAUGCAAAAUACACGGAGAUUUGAUUCAUUCUCCGCCAUCAGAGUUUCACACAAUGUCCGCACCAUGGUCCUACGUUGCUUGGAGCAUGCAUGUCAUUGGACCAAUUGAGCCAGCGGCAUCCAAUGGGCACAGGUUCAUCCUGGUGGCCAUUGAUUAUUUCACCAAGCGAGUUGAAGCUAAAACUUUCAAGUUUGUGACCAAGAAAGCAGGGGUCGAUUUUUUUCACUCAAAUAUCAUUUGUCGGUUCAGGAUCCCAAAGGUAAUCAUCACAGAUAAUGGUGCUAAUCUCAAUAAUCAUAUGAUGAAAGAGGUAUGUCAACAAUUUAAGAUUACGUAUCGUAAUUCCACCCCAUACUGCCCCAAUGCGAAUGGAGCAGUCGAGGCAGCCAACAAGAACAUAAAGAAGAUACUUCGAAAAAUGGUGGAAGGUUCCAGGCAAUGGCAUGAAAAGUUUCCCUUUGCGUUGUUGGGUUAUCGCACUACUGAUCGCACUUCAGUAGGUGCAACUCCUUAUUUAUUGGUAUAUGGCACAGAAGCAGUGAUACCCACGGAGGUUGAAAUCCCAUCCCUUUGGAUUGUUGCUGAAGCCGAGAUUGAGGGUGAUGAAUGGGUCAAGGCCCGUUUGGAGCAAUUGAGUUUGAUUGAUGAGAAGAGAUUGGCAGCAGUGUGUCAUGGCCAGUUGUAUCAAAAGAGAAUGGCAAGAGAAUACAACAAGAAGGUGCAUCCCCGGAAAUUUGAAGUGGGUCAGUAAGUAUUGAAAUGCAUCUUUCCACACCAGGCUGAAGCAAAAUGCAAGUUCGCCCCAAAUUGGCAGGGGGCGUUCAUCGUAACGAGAGUGUUGUCCAAUGGUGCAUUGUAUUUAACAGAUAUAGAAGCCAAAUGUGUAGAUAUGGCUAUCAAUUCUGAUUCAGUCAAAAGAUAUUAUGUAUGAUUUCUUUGGUAUAAAUUGUAUUUGUUUGUACUUGUCGUGUUUUGAAGAUUGGAAUGACGAAGGCAUUUUGUUCUGCUAUCUAAACAUUUUAUCCUUUGUUACCCCUAUAAGCCUUAUUUAUUUCCUUUCGUCCCCCUCUUUUGGAAUCAGUAGCAAAGUUCAGAAACGCGAGCGCAAUAAGUAAAGGAAAAGAGAGAAAAGAGAAAGAAAAGAAUGAAAAAGAGUGAAAAAAAACUAAAAGGGAUAAGAGAAAAAAAGAAGAAAAGAAAGAAAGAAAAGAAAGAGAAAAAUCACAACAACAAAGCAAUUCCUACACAUGAAUUACGUUCGACCUGAUUCCUUUUAAGGAUACACAUGCAACCUCAUGGUUCUAUCCUAUCAAAAUAAAAAUUCAAAAGUCCCCAAGAAAAGAAACUGGGGCAGAAAUUGUGGUUGUUGUAAGAAAUCUGAUUCCAAAAGUUGUAAUUUUGAACCCAUUUGAAUGUUUUGAGCCUCUUUGAUAUCCUUUCUUUCUAACCCCGUCCAGAGCCCACAUUAUGGUCCAAAGAAAGACCUUCCGAUCAGUCUUCGAGAGAUGCCAAGUCAGGCAAGUAGAGGUGAUUCAUAUCAGGGGCAACACUCCUAACUAAGCAAGAAAAGUGAAAAAUUAGAGAGUCUUAUUGGUGAAAAUCCUCGCGGGCACCGUAUGGAGACAAAAGAUGAGAGAAAUUAAAAUGAGAGAGUCUUAUUGGUGAAAACUCUCAUGGGCACCAUAAGGCGAUAGUAAGUUGAGAGAAGAACAAAUGAGAGAGGUUUGUUGGUGAAAACACUUCAGGGGACCGCAGGCCGAACAAGGUCAGUGAUUGGGCAAAGAAAUUGGGUUAUGGAAAUCUUGGGGCGCCAAGUAUGACAACUGAAAGUUGAUUGGUUGGAUAGACUGGGCUGAUUAAUCCAAAAUGCAUUUCCUUUCUUUUUCCCCUUCAAAUGGUCAUCCAGUUUUGGAUUUUUCUUCCUCAUUACUAACUCUCAAAGUCAUUGCAUUUCAUUUCUUUCGGGUUUAUUUCUCUAAGAUGUUUCCAAUGCCAGUUUUGUUUAAGAAAAUAAGAAAGGAUUUCAAAGAUUACUACCAACUUCCAAAUUGCACAAAGCAAAAUGCGGCUAGAACAUGCCAGAGAUAGUAUGAUGUAAAGUGUGACAUAAAGUGCCAGUGAAAGUUCAAUCGGUGGAAUGGUUUGGUAAUUUUGUGGGAGAUGCAGAGGUUCAGAUAGAAGGAUCAGAAAUGUAAAACAACUGUUUGGGUAUAGAGCCCUCGGUUCAUCCAGGGUCCUGCGAUUGAGGAUCAGUCAGAAAGUCAAACAAUUCUUGGCCAGUUCAAGGUAGCCAGUCAAAGCAAAGCAUGGCAAGGGAAGAUCCACCUUCACAAGAACGCCACGAACUAACCACCACAUUUUUAAACUGAUAAAAUUUUUCUUUAAUUUGAAACAGGGGCAGAAAAUUUCGAUUGUUUUGAAGAAACCCUCCGUAAGGGAAAGCAAGUACCAGACAGGUUUGACGAUAAAUUCUCAGGACCAUCCUGGAUAAUGGGACCUAGUUUAAAAUUCAAAUAUACAUGAGUAACAAGAUCUAGCAUAAGUCUUACCCCAAAGAAAUAUAAGUUGGCUUUGAAGUUUUUAUUUUUAGGAUAGGUCAAUUCGAAAUUUUUAGGACCCUCCUGAAUAAUGAGACUUAGCGUUAAGACUUUUAUUAGAUAACAAGAUUUAGCGUAAGUUCUGCUGUAAGGAAGUAUAAUUUAUCCUUAAAGUUGUCGCUCUUAAGAUAAGAUUUGAUUUUGACUUUCAGGACCCUCCUGGAUAAUGGGAUGUAUUUCUGAGACUUUCUUAGACAACAAGAUUUAGCGGAAGUCAUACCUUUAGAAAAUAUAAUUUAGCUUUAAAACUGUCUUUUUACUAGGAGUUUUCAGGACCCUCCUGGAUAAUGAGAUCUAGCUUUGAGAUUCUUAGAGAUAUUUGGUAACAUGAUUCAAUUAACAUUCACAGAUGUGCCCAGCCAACAAACUGGGGUAGAAAAUUUUCUUUGUUUUGUCUAUUUUCUUGAAAUCAGGCACCCAUUUGGAGAACAAGGGAGAACAAGGAAUCAUGUUCAAAGGAAAAGCAGUCGCAAGGGGAAGUAGUUCAAUUUCAGAAAUCAGGAGCCUACCUAGAGAACAAAGGGAAAACAAAUCAAAUUCCAAGGGAGAGCAAUUCAAGCAUUGGUAAUCAGGAGCCCACCUGAAGAACAAAGGGAAGCAGCAAGGUUCAAAGGAGUUCAGUAAUCAGGAGCCCACCUGAAGAACAAAGGAAAGCAGCAAGGUUCAAAGGAGUUCAGUAAUUAGGAGCCCACCUAAAUAACAAAGGGAAGCAGCAAGGUUCAAAGGAGUUCAGAGGAGUUCAGCAAUCAGGAGCCCACCUGAAGAACAAAGGGAAGCAGCAAGGUUCAAAGGAGUUCAGCAAUCAGGAGCCUACACAAAGGGAGAACAAGGCAAGUUUCUGAGGGGAAGAUAAUUCAAGUGUUGGAAAUCAGGAGCCCACCUGGAGAACAAAGGGAAGGCCACAGUAGUCAAAGGAAGACGGUUCAAGUUCAACAAACAGGCACCCGUCUGGAGAAAAAGGGAAAGCAUCUCAGAUUACAAUUCAAGUCAACAACAAAGGAAUUUCACCUGGAGAGUACGAGUCAGCAGAGCAACAGGAACUACAAGAUCAAGUUUGAAGAUAUAGAUAGGAUUCUUGUAAUUCACAGAUCAUAGUGUAAUCUAGCUUCUUUUAUUUUGGUGUAAUAAGGAGUUCAGUAAGCAGUAGCAUCAACAACAACAGUGAAAUCACAGCUUCUUGGUAGUGCCAGCUACCAAAACUUUCCGAAUUACACUGACCGAUUCCUUUAUAGCCAAGGAUAUGUAGGCAACCUCGGAAGUAGGGUGCGGUCAAAUCUUUUCAAAAAUGCUUCCCACGGAGUAUUCAAACGGGCAAAAAUCGCUCGUAUCCGCUCACUUUAUCUUUGCACCAAAACUCUUCAUGUUUCCGAGCAAAAAGGGCAGCUGUGAGCACGUGAUUUUUGCCCCACAUGAAUUACUCCUACAGAAUUCCAAAGAAUUAGAUUUUUUCUUAUAAUUGUUUGUUAUUUUAAUAAUUAUUGUAGAAUUUUCCUAAUUAUUUGCAUUUUUGUCUCUGCAUGUUUAAUUUUAUUAAAUUCAUAAAAAUAAUACAUUGCAUUUUCAUUUAGUACUUAAUUUUACAUUUUAGAUUAAUUGGUUUGUUUUACAAAAAUAGAAAAAAUCACGAAAAUAGCUUAUUUUUGUAUUUUUACUUUUAACUUCGAAUUUUGUAGUUUUCUUUUAAUUUGGUAAUUAAUUAGUUGUUGUAAAUAUUAUUUUGAAUAACUAAUCUAAUUUGGUAAGAUAAUUUGGUUUAGGAAUUAAUUCAGGUUCUAAUUUUAAUUUUGAAAAGAAAAAGAAUUUUUGAAAAAAAAAAAUUAAAGAAAAGGAAUUGAAAGAGAAGUCUUGUUGGACUGUUUUAAUUAAUUUCCCAUAGGCCCAAUCAGUUUUCACCCUUUAACCGUCCCAAAUAGGCCCAAACCCAUUGUCUUUACCCUGUCCGCCCGCUCAGCUAACCAAACGAUCCUGUUUCCUAUGCUUUCGAUCUAAGUCGUUGAUCUCGUUUGAUGAGACGGCCAAAAACUGAGUCCCAUAAUACAUAUAACUAUCCUGAAAGCCCGACCCCCUCCCUUUUUUCCAUCCCACACAUCGUCUUCUUCUAUUCAGAGACCAUCCCUAAAUCCUAAUGCGCCGCCCCAAUUCUCCAUCAUCUCCGGCCGGCGGCGCCACUCCCAAUCAGUCCCAAAUCAACACCACGACACCCCCAUGAUUUCUCCUCUCCCAAUCUCUAAUUAGUUUCCCCCAAACCAUUUAGAAUCUCUCGAAUCUUCAAUCUCAAAAUUGACCUAAACCCUAAAAUCCCAAAACUCCCAAAUCAUCAAAUGUCAAUAAAGAUUUAGGGUCAAAUUUGAUGUUAUUCGUGUGUUCCCGACGGGAACACAUGAUUAAUUUCAAGCUUGGUCAAAAAUUGAAAGAUUUUGAAGAUAUAUUCAUGACCACUGUCCAAGUUGUCUCUUAGGUAUUUUUCUUUUUCUUUUUUUUUUUCUAUUCGUUUAUCUUUUCUUCAUUUUUCCUUUUAUUUCUCAUACCAUCUUCUUCUGUUUCUUUUCCUUUUCUUUCUUGUUUCUGUUUCGUAAAUCACCUUGGCAUGCAUUUGUUAAUUUAGGUUUGUUUUUAAUCAACAUCUUUAUUAAUUUGUUUGAUUUAUUUAGUUUUAAUUUUUAGCUCAAAUUUCCCUCCUGUUUGGGGUUAUUUAGAACUUGUGGUUCCCAGAGUGCACAUAACACCAAGUUUCCCCUGUAUUGAUUCUUUUUCGGUUGAAUUGGGCUCUGUCAAGCAGAGGCCCAAAGAAAAGGAGAUUAUCCAGGUUUGGUAAACCCAUGUCUAUUUAGCCUUGGGUCCAAAUUGACCCAUAUCUAUGUUGGGGCAAAUAGCAGGAAUUACAAGGGUAUUUUAGGGAAUUUAGGAAAAGGAAUCUUGUAUAACUAACUUAGGAAGCUGCCUAGAAGGUGGGAUUGGGGCUGUUUUAGAAAACUGAUUUUUAAACUAAGGACCAAGUAGCAAAAACGAAAAUUUCAAAGGGAGUAAAGGGAAACAAACUUGACCCAUUUCUGCUGCCCUAAAACUUCACCAUAAAGACAUUGUUUCUUCACUAGCAAGCCAGAUUUUAGAGACUGAAAGACACUAAAAAGAACUUUAGAAACUGCUGAGUUUUUCAAAUGCAACAAUACUGGAAAAUUGCUGAAAAUUAGCUUGGGUUUUCUGGUUCUUUUGUUUCCUUCAGUUGAUUAGAGCUUCUAAGAUUUCCAAAUCGAGCAUCUGGGUUCUAAACUGGUUGAUUUAGUUUGAAAGUUUGAUUGACUUGCUGUGUGGGUACUGUUACAUUGUUGUUGUCCUGCUGUUGUUGCAUUCCCUCACUCCCUUUGCUUUUCUCUUGGUUUUUCCAGGUACUUUUGGGAACUAUGGAAAUCACUUGAGUGUAAUAUGGAAUUUGGAAUUGGAAAUGUGAUAAAAUCAGUGUUGUUUGCUGCUGAAUUUCAUUUCUCAAUCUUUCAAUCUCAGUUACGGUUAUAAUAUUCAGCUCUAGGAAUAUUUUGUUAGCUUAUUUCAUGAUUAUGAAUGUGGUGUCUUAGCGUUAAUUUGAAGUUUAAGCUAUCUGAUUCUCUUGCUUUAGUUGUCCGUUUGGCUGAAACUUGCUAUAGGUGAAAGAAAAUUCCCUGUGUGUUUGCAUUAACAGUCAAGCAUGUGUUGAAUCGAUUAGUUUGUACUUGAAUUUUAUUGGACUUGGUGUUUAAUCUCGGGGCUGUCUAAUUUCAAUUUCUAGUUUUCUGUUGAUAUGGUGUCAGGAAAGUUAAUUGAAAUUUUAAUUUUCGUAUUAUUGUUUAGUUUGGGAUUAAAAUUGAAGUUAAAUGUUAGACAGUUUUGUGGUUGUAUGUCAUUAAUACAUUUGAAUUCAAACAAUGAUUCCUUUUAAAAAUUGUAAUAUGGUUUAGUGAUUCCCCAGCCUUUUUAGUCCUUUGCCGUAUUUGAUGAAGCUUAAUUUGGCUUAGCUUGUAUUUUUAAGUCAAAUACAUACUGUUUUUAUGAAGGGACUCGAUCUUGAGUCCUAGGCUUUCAAUACUUGCCUUCCAUCAGAUGUGGGCUCCCUUUGGGCUUAAACCUUGAGUCCCUUUGAAGGUAGGAGUUCCAGGCCUCUUUGUGUUUGGGCCAGCUCUUUUGAGCCCAUUUCCUUAUUUAAUUUGUUGCUGAAGAUUUAUCCGUAAUAGGCCUAUUUCAAAAAUCUAAAAGCCCCGCAUUUCUCUGUGACCUUUAGUCGUGCAACACUAGCUUUAAUUUGUGUUGUUUAAAAUAGUUCUUUUACCUAAUGUGAGGUGUGCCAUGUGAAAUAACACUAAUAGUUUAUGGCCCUCAAAACUAAAUUUAGAAAUUCUUUUGAUAGAAUAAUUCGAAGCGUGUCAUGCCAACUAAAAUCUCAAAACUCAUGGCCCUCACUUAAUUAUUUUAAACUCAUUAGAAAUCGAGGUGUGCCAUUAGUGAAUUUUCCAUGGCCCUCGAAAACUUGAAAGUACAUAGUUGCUUUAGGCGCGCAAUUUAAAUUAACUUCCUUAAACUCGGGUGUGCAUUUCAUGUGACCCAACUCCAAUUCUCAACAACAUUAAAUAAAAUGUGUCGCGAACCGUAGGUACAUUUCAUGUGGAGUGGUUCAAUGCGUGUUUUAAAUAACGUUGAAUCUUCCUAAAAAUAAUUUAAAAGUGGUUGAUAAGUUAAAAUAUACAACAGGCUAAAACAUGUUUUAAAAUCAAAUAAACAAGUCAAUAAUAAUCGUUGAGCAACCGUGCUAAAAACACAGAAUCCGGGAAUGCCUAACACCUUCUUCCGGGUUAACAGAAUUCCUUACCCGGAUUUUCGUGUUCGCAGACUAUAAAAUAGAGUCAAUCUUUCCUCGAUUCGGGAUUUAAAACCGGUGACCUGGGACACCAUAAAUUAUCCCAAGUGGCGACUCUGAAUAAGAAUAAAUAAUCUCGUUUCGAUUGUCACUUAAAUUGGAGAAACUCCCUUAUACACUUUCGGGUAGAAAAAGGAGGUGUGACAGACGGUUGGAGGAUGUUCUUUGAUGGAGCUGCAAAUUUCAGAGGAGUGGGCAUUGGAGCCGUUUUGGUAUUAGAAAUGGGUCAACAUUAUCCUGUAUCUGCUAAACUCAGAUUUCCCUGCACCAACAACAUGGCAGAGUAUGAAGCCUAUAUACUAGGGGUCAACAUGGCAAUCGACAUGAACGUUCAGGAGUUGCUGGUGAUCGGUGACUCAGAUUUUCUUAUGCACCAGGUGCAAGGAGAGUAGGCCACCAAGAAUUCCAAGAUAUUUCCAUAUCUGCACCAUGUGCAGGAAUUGAGAAAGAGGUUCACAAAGAUAGAAUUCCGUCAUGUGCCCAGAAUUUCGAAUGCGUUUGUCGAUGAAUUGGCCACUUUGUCAUCCAUGAUACAACAUCCAGAUAAGAACUACAUUGAUCCCAUUUUGGUGAGGAUCCAUAAUCAGCCGGCAUAUUAUGCUCAUGUCGAGGAAGAAACCGAUUGAAAGCCUUUGUUCCAUGACAUCAAAGAAUAAUUAUCAAAAGGAGAAUACCCGGAGCAUGCAAAUCACUUAGAAAUUCACGCUCCGGAGAUUGUCACAUCACUUCUUCCACAUCGGAGGGAACUUGUAUAGAAGAACUCCUGAUUUGGGAUUACUAAGAUGCGUCGAUGCAAAGGAAGCUUCUAAGCUACUUGAGGACGUGCAUGCUGGGACUUGUGGUCCGCGCAUGAAUGGUUUCAUCUUGGCAACUAAGAUACUCAGAACUGGUUAUUUUUGGAUGACCAUGGAGAUAGAUUGCAUCCAGUAUGUCCGCAAAUGCUUUCAAUGUCAAGUGCAUGCCGACAUGAUAAAAGUGCCGCCAAACGAGCUUAAUUCAACAAGCUCACCUUGGCCAUUUGCCGCUUGGGGAAUGGAUGUUAUUGGUCCGAUUGAGCCUAUGGCUUCAAACAGACACAGGUGUAUUCUGGUAGCCAUUGAUUACUUCACAAAAUGGGUAGAUGUUGCAUCUUACAAAGUUGUAACCAAGAAAGUCGUCAUAGAUUUUGUUAAGGAUCGUAUUAUCUGCCGAUUCGGAGUUCUUGAGUCCAUUAUUACUAACAAUGUCGCCAACCUCAAUAGUGAUCUGAUAAAAGCUAUAUGUGAAACUUUCAAAAUCAAGCACAAGAAUUCCACCACCUACAGACCUCAGAUGAAUGGAGCCAUAGAAUCCGCCAACAAAAAUAUUAAGAAGAUACUAAGGAAAAUGGUAGAGAAUCACAAGAAGUGGCAUGAAAAGUUACCCUUUGCUCUGUUAGGGUACCCCACCACAGUUCGCACGUCCAUCGGGGAAACUCCCUACAUGCUGGUUAAUGGUACCGAGGAUGACAUCCAAGCCGAGGUGGAGAUUCUUUCGUUAAGAGUUAUAUAGGAAGUUGAACUUAGUGAUGCAGAGUGGAUAAGGAGCCGCUAUGAACAAUUGGCCCUUAUUGAUGAAAAGAGGAUGAAUGCAGUAUGUCACGGCCAAUUUUAUCAGAACAGAAUGUCCAGAUCUUUCAACAAAAAAGUCAAACCAAGACGGUUCGCACCAGGGCAGCUGGUACUCAAGAAAAUCUUCCCACAUCAAGAUGAAGCCAAAGGGAAAUUCUCUCCCAACUGGAAAGGUUCGUACAUGGUUUACAGAGUACUAAUAGGAGGAGUACUCAUACUUGCUUAAAUGGACGGAAAAGUCUGGACAAAACCAAUCAAUUCAGAUGCUCAAAAGAUACUAUGCUUAGAUACUUUAUAUUUCCUCAUUUGAUGUAAUUGAACUACGCUUGACCUAAUUCCCGUUUCAGAGGGGAUACGUAGGCAGCCUUAUGGGUUCGGUCAUAUUAUAAUAAAAUUUUCAUUUCCCCCAAAAUCAAAAACUAGGGAAGAAUUUUGAGGAGGGUCCUCAAAACUUCGGAGCAAGUCCAGCCAGCGCCAUCACAUGCCAGGAAGUCAAUAAUCAGUCAAGAACUGGGGUAGAAUUUUGAGGAGGAUUCUCAAAAUUCCGAAGAAGAUGCAGCAGAGUUUGCCAUCCACAAAUAGUUAAAAAUCAUCUACCAAACUGGGGCAGAAUUUUAAGGGGGACCCUCAAAAUUUCAACAUAAGAGAGAUGCAAUGCCUUUGAAAUGUGUCAUAGUCGCUAGUUCAUCAAAAAAUACUUGAAAUAUCAAUACAUUUCCAAAACAAUUCUAUUUUUAUCAAUGAUUGCUUAUUUUUCGAAAAUUCUAUUUCCAUAACAGUCAGGUGCUACCUAGGGGAACUCGAAGGGGGCUCUCAGAGAGGAGCAGAGCAAGGCCAACAGACAAAGCAAGAACCAACCUCCCCUCAUAUAACUUACAAUUUUUCUUUAAAUGCAGGAGCAUUUGACGUAACGGUAGCAUUCGCGAAACAUGUAUACACAAAGCAAAUUCACCAUUCAUCCAGCCAUCAGACACUGAAUAUAUCUCCAGCUGAGACAUACAAUACCCUUAUCUACUAUUCGCUCUUUGUAUGGGACUAAUCACUAUCCCCCACAUUUGCAUGAGGCUAAUCUUUGCCUCCAUAUUUACAUGAGUCUAUUCCCUGACUCCAUAUUUGCGUAAGGCUAACCCUUUCCUCCUAUUUGCAUGAGUCUAAUAUUUGACUCCACGUUUGCAUGGGUCUAAUCCUUGACUCCAUACUUGCAUGAGGCUAACCCUUGCCUCCAUAUUUGCAUAAGUCUAAUCCUCGACCCCAUCCGUGAAUCCAUAUUUGCAUAAGGUUAACCCUUGCCUCUCAUUUGCAUGAGCCUAAUCUCUGACUCCAUGUUUGCAUGAGUCUAAACCUUGACUCCAUACUUGCAUGAGGCUAAUCCUAGCCUCCAUAUCUGCAUAAGUCUAAUCCUUGACUCCGUAUUUGCAUGAGUCUAGUCCUUGACUCUAUAUUUGCACAAGGCUAAUCCUUUCCUCCCCAUUUGCAUAUGGCUAAUCCUUAUCUCCCCACUUACACGGGACUAAGCAUUUUCCCUCUUUGCACAGAUAUUGCUCCAUUUCUACUACUAUCUAUUUGCUUUUUACUCGGGCUAAGCUCUACCCUCCAUUUCACAAGACUAAGCCUUGUCUUGUUACCUCAUAUUAGUGUAUAUCAUGGUCUGAACCAUCACCAAUCUAUCCGAAGGCGUCAUAAUCUAAAGGCAUCAUUCUCAUAGCCGGAAGACAUCAUACCAUGGCCUAAGUAUCCAUCAAUCUUGCAUAUCAUUAUUCAUAGGCGUCAUGGUUCAGAGGCACCAUUUUCAUGGAUCUAGAACACCAUUUCAUGGCCUGCGAAUCCCUCACUAAACAAUUCAUGGCACAGGACGUCAUCUUUAACCGUCCGAAGACAACCACCAUGGUCCGAAGGAAAUCUGCAUCAUGUUUAAUUUUUUGCAAAUACGUUUGUAGAAUCUUUUAUCUGCAGGUAACCAGUAAGCAACCGCUAUCCUAGUAGGAGAAAUCUCUCUCUAGUUCCCUCCAACCGUCCCGAGCCUUAACCGCUCAUCGUAGCCGCUUCCGCAUGUCGUGUCCGUUCUUGCAAUAAUUUCAUCAGUUUACUUCGCAGGUGAAUCCAGAACUACACAUGUCCUGAUUUUUGUAAAACUAGGGAUAUGUAGGCAACUCAAAAAUUAGAGUUCGGCCUCUACCUUUCAAAACAUCCCAUCCGAUCAAAAUUGGUCAUCAUUUCUUUACUCGAAACUUUCUCAUCCUUCCUGGGUAAAAAAAGGCAACUGUUGAUACCCAAUUUUUUCCUAUAUAUUUUGUAUAUGCAUAAAUACCUUUGAAAUAGCAUAUAUAUGCAUAUAUAAGCAUGCACAAGAUUUUUAUAAUUUUUUCAAUAAAUUUAAGGAUUUAAAUUGAUUUAUUUCCUCCCCUUUUUAUUCAUAAAAUCCCAAUAAUUAUUCCCCAAAUUAUUGUUAUGGUGAUUUAUUCAUUCAAUUUCUAUACUUAUACCAAAAUAUGGUUAAUAUAUUUUUUAUGCAUUUUGAUUAUUGCAUUUGGUAUUUUUUAUGCUAAAUUGCAUAUAAUUGCAACGUUAGCCCAUUUAAUGUAUAAUUACUUUUUAUAUGCGUAAAAUCUGUCCCUGUAUUUUUAAAAUGAUAUAUAUAUAUAUAUAUAUUUAAAAUAAUUUUGGUACAUAAAAUUAUUUUUGAGAAAUUAUUUAUUAUUUAUUAUAAAUUAAAUAAGGAAAAUUGGCUAUUUAAAUUAUAGCCAGAUUUGGCUUUAAAUUGUAGCCUAAAUCGGACCCAACCCCAGCCCAAUUUCAUACCUGAUUACCCGACCCAGGCCCUAUACACAUCUACCCGACCCGGAAUCUAUUAAAUCCUAGCCGUUGAUCUCACAGAUCAACGGCCCGUAUCACUUCUUACCUUUUUUAAUUCCUACAACCCCUAACCCUAUCUCAUUUCUGAAAUUCCGCCGCCCUCAAAUCCUCUCAUCUCCUCUCUUCUCUCAACCUAACCCUAGCCUCUUUCAACUGCCUCCCUUCUCUUUUCUUCUCUAGUGACCACCCUUCAACCCCAAGCCUUCAAUGGCUCCUCUUUUGCCAUGCUCAUCUUCUCUGAGGCCUUCAAGGGCCCUGGGUCACACCGACUUGCAUCUGGGGUUUGCCAUCUGGUCUGUUAUUGUCUAUUUCAGUAUGAUUCCAGGUGAAAUCCUGAUAUACUUGUUACGAUCCUUCAGGUUUUGACAGGUUCUUUCGUUUAUACUUGGGUUUCUUCUGAAAUCCUAUUUCUUGCUUACAUCUCUUAGGUCUUCUUUGUUUUGGCUAUGUUUGUUAGCAUGACUACUCGAUUCUUGUUAAGUUUUUGUGGUUACCGUGCUUCGAAUAGGCUUUACUGAGUCCUUAGCCUACUUAUAUCACCUCUAUGUGAUUAUAUUCAUCUUGAUUGUUCAAGACUUGCCUCUUUCUGUCGAUAUUGUUGACCUUGCAUGUUUGCUACUUCUUUUGUUCUUCUCUAUUUAUAUGUUGAUUAUAGAAUCAUAACUUCCUCUUGAUUGAUUCUGAUUUCCUUAUUUUAUGGUUUGAUUGAAAGAUUUUCUUUUAAUCCCUAAAUUUCUACCUCGCCUGUUUAAAUUGACUGAUCCCCAUACCUUAUUUGUUGUGGUGCUUUAUUAUUACUGAACCAUUUCCUUAAUUGAAGUUUUCUGAACUUAGUCCUAAUUGACUACCCUAUGCUUGCGGAACUUUGAUUCUUUCCUUAUUAGUCAUAUACUAAUUUUCUUGCCUUAUAUGCUACUGGUUCUUACCGUUUGAAUUAAUUCUCUUAACUUAAGGGAGUACUUGCCUUGAUUUUCUGACGGACUAAUUCUGAGUGAGUACUUGCCUUGAUUUUCUGACGGACUAAUUCUGAGUUCCUUAAUUAUUAUGCUACUAUGAUUCUUACCUUAUUUACUACCUGCUUUCAAACUAUAUAUACCCAAGUCUUUCAUUAGCACAACACAUGAACCCUUGGUUCAAAACUAUCUCUCACACUCAAACUUACUGCUCUCUCUUUUGUACUACUUGCUACAGCUUUAAGUUUGCCGGCUGCAAGCCAAGGCUAACCAUUUAUGUUCUCUUAUUCUUUCAUUCUACUCACUAUCCUCUUUACUGGUAUGUUCUAGUUUCAAUUCAAAGUUCCAAAAACAAUAUGAUUCUCUUAUUGCUUCAGUUCAUUUUGCUCCUAGUUUGCUUCUAUUUGUGGUUUUGUUGUGAAACUUGUAGUUGAUGGUUACAUUAUUAGCAUGUUAUUGUGUCUUCCCCUUCCUUGAGAUCAACAUACUCCCCCUUUAUGUGUGUUUCUGAGCUUGUCUUACCAGGUAUCGCUUACUUGUUGUGUACUUACCACCAUAUACUCCAUGAAUCCCCAAAUCCCUAUCACCCCUCUAUGUGGUUGUAUUCUUCAUGUCUGGUUUUGUGACUAUGCUAGGGUUAGCUAUUUCUGAGCAUGCUAAACCAGUCCUAGAUCUUUGCUAGGUUAUGUGUUUGUAGUCAAUUGUUCUAUGUAUCCCAAAACCCAUGUGUGUGACUACUGAAUUUACUUGGUUCUGUGAACUAGCUAUGUAUAAACCUGUCCAAAGGUGUUUUGAAUUCUGUUCAUCUCUUCAAACAGUCUUUGUUGUUUUACUACAUUAUUUUUAAACAGACUUUUGUUUUAAUACAAUAUUUUUUACUAAAACCUUUUAACUUGUGUCAAUCACUUUUUGCUCUACUCUUACUCAAUAAGUUCUACCCCCUCCAGUAUGUGUACUGCCUUGGGAUCCUUUUGAGAACCCUCUGAACUAUGACAUACUGAGGUUGGCCCUUCCACACUGCACUUGUUCAAUUCUUGGUUUCCAAGUCUAGGUGUAAGCAUUGCCCGGGAUCCUUGAGAUCCUUAGGAAACUUUGAUGAACCUAGACUAUGUCAUUGUCUAUGGAAUUGAGGCAUUUGAGGUCAUUGGAGGCUUUGGAAUCUGGGCCUAAAUGAAGGCUCCCUAUAGAAUAGCUUCUUAGUUUUCUUAUUUACUUAUGUAAUUCAUUCAUUGGUCUGUAAUAACUUGUAAAUAAAUAUUGGGGUAUUUAGUGAAAGGGUGGGUAGAUACAUGUUUUAUGGGGUAAUUUAGGUAGAAAUCAUGCUCAUAGGACUUUAGUUUUUAAUUUGAUUGCUUUGCCAAAUAGAAAUCAUUCCCAUAUGACCUUACUUUUAAAUUUAUUUGCUCUACUAAAUAGAAACCAUGUUUACAAGGCUUUACAUCAUGUCAUGUUUAGAAACCAUGCCUAUAGGAUUCGGAUAAUUUCGUAAUAAGAAUCAUGUUUUCAUUGUCUUAAAAUCAUAUUAACUAAUAGAUACCAUGCCUAUAGGAUGUGAUUUAACCCAGAUUCAGUUAUAACGAGUGUUAUGUAUGCUAAUCAUUAAAAUCAGUAUUACACUUAUAUAUCAUGCCUAUAGGGAACCAUAUUCGAAAUUCUUCCAAUCUAAUAAAUCUAAUUAGUCCACGUUUAGUCAUUUCUGGAUUAGUUUAAUUAAGUAUUUCGUAUUUCCUGAAACAAAUUCCUUAAAACUGUCUCAAACUAUUAUUAGAUAUCACGCUUAUAGGUAUUAAAGAAGUCUGUUUCAAAACUUGCUUUGUUUUUAUACAAGUGUACUAAUCAAUGCUCCGCGUAUAGGCAAGCCCUUAGGCAAUUGCUAGGGUUAUACAAGUGUACUAAUCUAUAGGCAAUUGCUAGGGUUAUCAUUUCUGAGUCUAAAAUAAGUUGUUUGUUUCUGCAUAUUCACCUAGAUACCCUGCCUUAGGACACUGUCUAAUGAAAGCCCUUAAUUGUGCUCGAUUCGUGUUGUUUAUGUGCUUGUUUGAGGAGGAAACUUUGAGUCUCUAAUUGCUCCAUUUAUGUGCUGAAAGUCCUGAGUGUUUUUUAUUGUCGCCUUAGAAUUUUAACCUUUUAAAACCUUAGGGGUCCGUCUAUAACCACCUAUAGGUAGAGGUCCUAACUCCCUCCAGGACCAUUAAGAAGGGACGGGUAGCAGCACGUAAUAGAAAUCGUUGACCAAAUACUCGCUUGCAUGACCACUAAGGGAAUGGGAAGGGUAGAUAUGGGAUAUGAUGACUACGCGUUAAUGUCACGUGUAGCCCCUAAUUGAGGAGUGUUUACCGGACAUUGUGUGGGGUGAUCCUAUAGGAUAACCAACCUAGGACCCCUCUUUACCAAAUUCUUUUUUAUUUAAACCUUUGUUUUACAACUUGUCCAAAUCUUUAUCUUAUUACUUGACUUAUCCAACGUGUUUUACUUGCAACCUAUUUGAUUCAAUUGUUUACUUGUAAUGGAUUAAUUUGUGAAUAUAUGUUCGGCUGGGACCCACAGUUGUGGACCAAGAGGGGUGCCUAACACCUUCCCCUCGAGGUUACUUCGAGCCCUUACCCUAAUCUCUGGUAAUGCAAACCAACCUAAGAGUUAAUCACUCUAGGUGCCCUAACGUACCAUAAUCCGUUAGGUGGCAACUCUUCCAAUACCCAAUUCCCAAACGGAAAUGAGUCAUUACACCCCGUGAAUGUCGAAACCCGGACUUUCCCGUCAAAAAGGGAAAAAAGGGGAUGCGAUAAGGUGUAACUCUUAGUUUUUGAUGUUAUUUUAGUGUUCCGAUCGCGCGAUCAAGUAUGUAUAGUAUUGGUUGAAUGAUGUGGGUAUUUGGAGUGGAACCUCGAGGGCUCGGGUAAGUUUCGGAGUGAAGACACUCCAGUUGUCUGGUAUUUCUAGGCAGCUGCUGCAAGUCUCGCAAAUGCGAGGAUUUGUUCGCAUUUGCGACAAACGCAUUUGUGAGGAAAGCUUCACAAUUGCGAAGAAGCCUGAGCUGGGCAGCGAUCGCAUUUGCGACAUUUUUUAUCGCAUUUUCGAACCCAGCAGAGUCUGCAUUUGCAACCAUUUUGUCGCAUUUACGACCCUUAUAGAGGGAGCCCAUGUUCGCAUUUGUGAUGCUUUUGUCGCAAUUGCGGUCUUCGCAUUUGCGAACUAGAUGUCGCAAAUACGACAUUUGUGGCUUGUGCACAACCUUUAAAAAUGGGACUUAGGCUAUUUAUUUCAUUUCACUUCUACAAUUAGGUGAUUUUCAGAGCUUUUGGAAGUGGGCUUUCACCUAGCACUUUGAGUUUCGGAUUGUGCGGCUUCGGUUUGAGGGUUCGAGCGCAUUCUUGAGUUGGAAGUAGGCUCAAAUGAGGUAAGUCUCUUUUCUAAACUUGUAAGAGGGAAAUUUUCCCAUAGGUGAACUUAAUUAAUAUGUGAUUAAUUGCGGGUGCUAAGUACGCGCAAAGUGACGAGAGUCUGUAUGUAGCUACUAUUUCUGUUAUUGUUCGGGUAGUUCUAGGAUUACACCAUGCUUUGUGGACACUACUAUAUGAUUAUAUGCGCUAAUUGUAAGAAAGUAAUUAAGUUGAAGAAAAUCUAAAGAUUCAAAUGCUUCAAGAGAAUUGUCUUCUUUUUUGAAAAAGAAUCAAGGAAGUAUUGUGUUUUAAAUGAUAAAGAUUACGUUUGAUCGCGUCGCAUGGAUAUCGCGAGCGGGAUUAUGCUUUUACCUCAUUGCAUGCAUGAUUCAUGAGCAAGGUGAAUAGAUGCAUCUAUGGUUCGCGUCGUUCGACCCUCGGCCGUGCACAUUUUACUUUUAUGUUGGAUCGGGCCGAACGUCCUUGGUGGUAAUUGUGUGUGAUAAUAGAACGGAGAUACUUUGUAGUUGUAUGCUUCAUUCCUUGAUACUUUACAUUAUUUAAAUAAAGAAAGUGCCUUGCCUUAUUUAAUAUGAUGGAGGAAAUUCCUCGGUUAUUGCUCUGGUUUAAGCUUGACUGUUAUCUAUAUACAUUAUGCUUAAAGUUAUUGGAAUUUCACAUUAUAUAUUGUUGGCCCUAGUAAGUGUCUAAAUUGACCCCUCGUCACUACUUCUUCAAAAUUAGACGAGAUACUUAUUGGGUACAUAUUUCUAUGUACUCACGCUACACUUCUGCACUUGAUUGUGCAGGCUUUGAGGCAAGGGCAUCUGGCCACCAGUCUGGUGCAUAGAGUGGACUUCUCAGCUUGAGACUUUCUGGUGAGCUACCCUUUUGUGUCGUUCUGCAGCUGCUAGAGCCUUUUUUUGUAUUUAUGUUUUCUAUCUAUUCCUUUUCCAGAGAGUAGGAAAGUAUGGUGAUGUAUAUUCUUAUAGAUUUCCCACACACUUGUGGUACCAGGUCUUGGAACACACAUUAGUAGAAUUAUGAUGUUUUGGCUUGUUUUCAUGAUUGAGAUGCGCAUUUACCUCUUUCAUUAAAUAUGCUUAAGUUUUUAAGAUAAUAAAUUUCUUAAACCUAUAAUGGAAGUUAUCACGUACUAGCUACAUAAAUAAGGAUUUACUAUUCGAUUAGUGUUGUCUUGCCUAACAACAGUGUUGGGUGCCAGCAUGGUCUAAUAUGGAAUUUGGGUUGUGACAACAUGGUAUCAGAGCACUAGGUUCACGUAGGUCUCACAAGUUAUGGGAAAAUCUAGUAGAGUCUUGAGAAUCGGUAUGGAGACAUAUGUACUUAUCUUCGAAAUGUCAUAGGGUGUUAGGAAACUACUCUUUAUUCAUCUUCUAUCGUGCAGUAGAUGGUAUACUAAGAUGUCUUCUUCUAUUCUCUCAUAGAUGGUGAGGACGCAUACGGCGGACGUUCUAGACAAGGGAGGAGCCGAUCACCCCGUUACUGAACGCCGAGGUAGAGGCCGGGGGAGGGAACUAGUCCGAGGUUGGGGACGAGGGUGUCCCAGGGCUUCCCCAAUUGCACCACCAAUGAAUCCAGCAAGGGAUCCCAUUAUUGAGGAUCAAGGUGAGGUGCCCGCAGCAGCGCCUGCCAUGGCGGAUUUCAUGAUGGCACCAGGCUUUUAGGAGGUCAUAGGUCAUAUGUUGUGGUUCAUAGACUCUAUGACCCAGGCUGGUUUAUUUCCAGCAGGCCCAGCCACAUCUCAUGCAGGAGGGGGAGCACAGACCCCUACUUCUCAGGCUCUUGGGCACGCAUCUUCCAUAUAUCAAACUCCGGGUACUCUACCCGCAGGCAGUGCUCAGCCAAUUGCAGUAAUGGUAUCUGAUCCUAGACCAGCUACGGACGGUGACCCACAAAAGUUAUUGUACAGAUGGACAAGGCUACACCCUCCUAUAUUCGGAGGCCUGCAUCAUGAGAAUGUCCAGGAUUUCAUUGACAGGUGUAGGGAAAGACUGCACAACAUGAGGAUAUUGGAGUCCCAUGGAGUAGAUUUUACCACUUUGCAGUUAUAGGGCAGGCCCCGUAGAUGGUGGCAGUCUUACCUUCUCGGUAGACCAGUAGGUUCUCCUCCCAUGACUUGGUGUUAGUUUACAUAGCUUCUAUUGGACAAGUAUAUUCCACCCUCUCAUAGGGAAGAGUUAUGGUGUCAGUUUGAGCUGCUCGAGAAGGGUCAGAUGUCUGUGACCGACUAUGAGGCGAAAUUCUAUGAGUCGUCUCGCCAUGCACUCAUGAUACUUCCUACGGACGCAGAGAGAGUGCAGAGAUUUGUUGCGUGGUUACACCCCGGUAUUCAAGCUAGCAUGGCCUGAGAGGUUGAGAUGGGGACUGAGUAUUAGCUAGUUCUGGAGAUUACUCGAAGGAUUGAGGGUUACCGACAGAGGGGUAGAGAGCAGUUGCAGCAAGAUAAAAUGACCCGAUUCUCUAGAGUGUUUAGAGGUGCCCCAGCUAGGGGCAAAGUAUAGUUUGGGAGGGGUCAGCCCACCAGGCCCCCAUAUUCAGCACCACCACUACCUCCUCGAGGUGCUCUAGUGAGGCUUUAUUUUAGUGCGAUGCCGGAGAGUUCUUAGUACCCACCAGCUAUUCAGAGUUCGUCUGGCGGGUAUUCUAGUCAUCAGGGUUCUUCUAGUGCUUACUUCAGUGCCAUGCCGGAGAGUUCUUACUACCCACUAGCCAGCCAUUCAGGGUUCCUCUAGUGGGUAUUCAGGCCAUCAGGGUCAGCCAUCGAGUCAGCAGUCUAUGGUACCGAGGAGUUGUUACGAGUGUGGAGAUCUGGGGCACAAAAAGAGGACCUACUCCAGACUUUGCGACAAGGCAAUACAGCAGGGUCAUCAGCCUAUGAUUGCAGUAUUAGUCGUCCAGCCGCCCAGAGGUAGGGGACAGGUUGGUAGGGGCCGUCCUAGAGGUGGAAGCCAGGAAGGGGGAGUUCAGUUAGCUAUUAUUCAGCCAGUCGGCGCACCAGCUAGAUUCUAAGCUUUUCCAGCCAGAAUAGAUGCAGUGGCCUCAGAUGCUGUGAUCACAGUUAUUAUUUCUGUAUGCGGUAGGGAUGAUUCGGUAUUAUUUGAUCUAGGGUCUACAUAUUCAUAUGUGUCAUCUCUGUUUUCUCAUUUCUUGGAUAUCCCUUGUGAGUCUUUGGGUACUCCUAUUUAUGUGUCCACUCCUGUGGGCGAUUAUAUGGUCGUGGAUCGGAUCUACCGGUCCUGUGUGGUUACAUUCUGUGGGUUCGAGACUAGAACAGACCUUAUGUUACUUGAUAUGAUUGACUUUGAGGUUAUCCUAGGCAUGGAUUGGUUAUCUCCAUAUCACGUCAUUCUUGAUUGUCAUCCCAAGAUUGUUACUUUAGCGAUGCCUGAGUUGUCGAGAUUGGAGUGGAAGGGUUCCUCUGUUAGUGCAUCCAGUCAGAUUAUCUCAGGCAGGUGGAUCUCCUGGGAUAUCGUUCCGUAGUCCUAAAGUAAGCACACAACCAUCGCAGAAGAAUAUACAGUUCUAUUCAAGAAUUAAACAAGAAAUUUCUACUCUAACAUGCUACACAGAGUACAAGUAGGCUAUUAAAGCAGGUAAGACAAUUAACUCACGUAAGCAUGCUUUUCCUAAUCUAAAUAAGAGGCUUCAAGUACAAGUAUUUUUUAAAAUUACAAUAAACAUAAGUAUUAGCUUAAUGAAAACGAGAUUUUCAACAAAUAGCAUGUGUACGCACUCGUCACCUUACGUACAUGGCACUCAUAUAACAAAAUACUAAAUCCUAAGGGGAGUUCCCCCAUACAAGGUUAAGCAAGCGACUUAACUCGAACCAGCUCAACCAACUCGAAAUCACGUUCUUGCCACGAGUACCCGACUCCAAAUGGCCCAAAUCUAUUCAAAGUAAUUGCAAAAUUUAAAUAUAACUACAAAAACUAAUUUAGUUAAUGAAAUAAAAGCUAAGGCAAGAAAAUAGAAAAACACCCAAAAAUCCUCCCCGGGCCCACGUCUCAGAAUCGGGUAAAAAUUACUGAUUAUGAACUCACAUUCACUCACGAGUCUAGACACGCUAAAAUUACUCUAAUCCGUUACCAAAAUCUUGAUCAAAACCCCAAAAUUAGGCCUAAGAACUUUUCCAAAUUUUCCCCCAAUUUCUUACCCCAAAUUUGAAAUUAGAUGAUGAAUUCAUGUUUAGAUUAAUGGGUUAUAAGCAAAGAUGAGUUAAGAAUCAUUACCCGCAAACUCCCUCCGAAAAUGCUUCCAAAAUUCGUCUUCUACUGAGCUCUCAAUUCAAUUUUGUGAUAUGAGCUCAAAACCCUUGAUUUUGAACUUUAUGUUCUACCCAGAGGCGACCUUAAUCGCGAUCGCGGAAGCUCUCAUGCGAUCACGAAGAGCAACUUUGCUGGCUCCUAGAUUUACCUUACGCGAACGCGAUGCUUGCAUUGCUCAAGUCUACGUAAUCGUGGUUGACCCCACGCGAUCGAGAAAAGAAACUCCCAUUCCACAGAUGCCUCACUUCUUCUUCUAUGCGAAAACAGCAUAACCCACACGUUCGCGAUUCAACUAUCUACCAAUACUACGCAUUUGCAUUCCUUUUUCCGCGAUCGCGUAGAACAAAGUUCCCUCUGCCUCAGCUAAGUCUUUGUGAUCGCAAGCCUCCUCAUGCGAUCGCAACGAAGGGAAGUCUGCAACAAAAAAACCAGAAAAAUCUUAUCCUACUCCAAGUCCAAAAAUGGCCCGUUGAGCAUCCGAAACACACCUGAGGCCCCCGAGACCUCAACCAAACACAUCAACCAAUCCUAAAACAUCAUACGAACUUAGUCUAACCCCCAAAUCAUAUCAAACAAAGCUUAAACCAUGAAUCACCCUCCAAUCCAAAUCUUAAGAACUUGAAAUUUCAAGAAUCCUACAACCAAUGCCGAAACAAACCAAACCAAGUCUGAUUGACCCCAAAUUUUGCACACAAGUCACAUUCAACACUACAGAGUUAUUCCAACUUUCGGAGUCGGAUUCUGACCUCGAUAUCAAAAUCUCACUAUUGAUCCGGAAACUUCAAAAAUUUAACUUUCGGCAUUUCAAGUCUAAAUAAGAUACGGACCUCCAAAACACAAUCCGAACACACCUCUAAGCCUGAAAUCACCCAACGGAGCUAACGGAAUCGACGAAAUUCCAUUCUGAGGCUGUCUUCACACUGCUUCGACUACGGUCCAAAUUCUAAAGGUUAAACUCUUAUUUAGGGACUACGUGUCCCAAAACACUCCGAAACUCAAAACGAAUCAUCCCGGUAAAUCAAAAUAGUAGAAAUAAACACGGGGGAAGCAGUUAAUAGGGGAUCGGGGAGUUAAUUCUUAAAACGAUCGGUCGGGUCAUUACAUCCUCCCCCUUUUAAAACAUUUGUUCGUCCUCCAACGAGCAUAGAGACAUACCUGAAGUGGUGAAAAAAUGAGGGCAACGGCUGCGCAUAUCUUGCUCGGUUUCCCAAGUAGCCUCCUCGACUAACUAACCCCGCCACUGAACCUUCACUGAUGCAAUGUUCUUUGACCUCAGCUUCCGAACCUGCCUAUCCAAUAUUGUCACUGGCUCCUCAAUAUAAGAUAGAUCCUUGUCCAAAUGAAUUGAACUGAAAUCCAAUAUGUGUGACGGGUCGCCGUGAUACUUCCGGAGCAUCGAAUCAUGAAAUAACGGAUGAACUCCUGCCAAGCUGGGAGAUAAGGCAAGCUCAUAAACAACCUCCCCAACACAUCUCAAUAUCUCAAAAGGACCAAUAAAACUCGGACUCAAUUUCCCCUUCUUCCAAAUCUCAUAACGCCUUCUAUAGGCGAAACCCGAAGCAAGACCUGCUCUCCAACCAUAUAGGAAACAUUACGAACCUUUCGAUCCGCAUAACUCUUCUGUCUGGACUGGGCUGUACGAAGUCUAUCCUGAAUCACCUUAACCUUCUCCAAGGCAUCCUGAACAAAGUCUGUGUCCAAUAAUCUAGCCUCACCCAGCUCAAACCAACCCACCGGGGAUCUACACCUCCUACCAUACAAAACCUCAUAUGGUGCCAUAUGAAUGUUGGACUGAUAACUGUUGUUGUAGGCAAACUCCGCCAGCUGCAAGAACCGAUCCCAAGAACCUCUAAACUCCACCACACACACACAGAACAUAUCCUUAAGAAUCUGAAUAGUGCGUUCGGACUUUCCAUCCGUCUGGGGCUGAAAUGUUGUGCUCAACUCCACCCGAGUACCCAACUCAUGUUGUACGGACCUUGAAAACCGUGAUAUGAACUGAGUACCUCUAUCUAAAAUGAUGGAAACUGGAAUGCCAUGCAGACGAACAAUCUCCCGGAUAUAAAUUUUUGCCAACCACUCCGAAGAAUAGGUAGUACACAUAGGAAUGAAUUGCACGGACUUGGUUAGUUGAUCCAAAAUCACCCAAAUAGUAUUCAACUUCUUCAAAGUCCGCGGGAGUCCAACUAUGAAGUCCAUGGUUAUCCGCUCCCACUACCACUCUGGAAUCUCUAUCUGCUGAAGCAACCCACCCGGUCUCUGAUGCUCAUAAUUUACCUGCUAACAAUUGAGGCACCGAGCUACAAACCCAACUAUAUCCUUCUUCAUUUGCCUCCAACAAUAGUGUUGCCUCAAAUCCUAGUACAUCUUCGCGGUACCCGUAUAUAUGGAAUACCACGAACUAUGGGCCUCCCCUAGAAUCAACUCCCGAAGCCUAUCAACAUUGGGUACACAUACCCGACCCUGCAUCCUCAAUACCUCGUCAUCACCAAUAGUCACAUCUCUAGCAUCAUCGUGCAGAACCUUGUCCUUGAUGUCGAGCAAAUGAGGGUGAUCAUACUGACACUCCCUAAUACGAUCAAAUAAGGUAGACCGACAGAUCACGCAAACUAGAACCCGACUGGGCUCCGAAAGAUCCAAUCUCACAAACUGGCUGGCUAAGGCCUGAACAUCCAUCGCCAUAGACCUCUCCGCUGCUGGUAGAUAAGCCAAACUCUCCGCUCGGCGACUCAAAGCAUCGGUCACCAUAUUGGCCUUGCCCGGGUGAUACAAGAUAGUGAUAUCAUAGUCCUUCAGGAGCUCUAAUCAUCUUCUCUGGAACAAAUUAAUAUCCUUUUGCUUGAACAGAUACUGGAAACUUUGGUGAUCAAUAUAGAUCUCAUAAGGAACACCGUACAAAUAAUGACGCCAGAUCUUCAAGGUGUGAACAAUAGCAUCUAACUCGAGAUCAUGGACAAAAUAAUUCUUCUCAUGUACUUUCAAUUGUCUGGUCGCGUAGGCAAUCACCCUACCAUCCUGCAUCAAUACCUCUCCAAAUCCAAUCCUCGAGGCAUCACAAUAGGCGGUAUAAAACCCCAAACAUGUAGGCAAUAUCAAUACUGGGGUUGUAUUCAAAGUUGUAUUGAGCUUCUGGAAGCUCGCCUCACUCUCUUCCGUCCAGUGGAAAGGAUCACCCUUCUAGGUCAGCCUGGUCAUAGGUGCUGCAAUAGAUGAAAACCCCUCAACAAAUCGACGGUAAUAACCCGCCAAGCUAAGAAAACUGCGGAUCUCUGUAGCUGAGGAUGGUCUAGGCCAACUCGGCACUGCUUCCACUUUCUUCGGAUCCACAUGUAUACCCUCACUCGAUACCAUGUGACCCUAGAAUGCCACGGAAUCCAACCAAAACUCACAUUUCGAGAACUUUGCAUAUAACUUAUUUUCCCUCAAAGUCUGGAGCACUGUCCUCAGAUGUUACUUAUGAUCCUCCCGACUCCGGGGGUAUACCAGAAUAUCAUCAAUAAAGACAACGAUGAACGAGUCAAGAUAUGGUCGGAACAUACUGUACAUAAAAUGAUGAAGGUUGCUAGGGCAUUGGUUAGCCCAAACGAAAUAACAAGGAACUCGUAAUGAUCAUACCGAGUCCUAAAAGCAGUCUUCGGGAUAUUUGGCUCCUGAAUCUUCAACUGAUGGUAACCUGAACGCAAGUUAAUCAUAGAGAACACUCGUGCACCCUGUAACUAGUAAACUGAAUCAUCAAUACGAGGCAAAGAAUACCGGUUCUUCACUGUAACUUUGUUCAACGGACGAUAAUCAAUGCACAUACGCAUAGAACCAUCCUUUUUCUUUACAAACAAGACAGGAGCACCCCAAUACACUCGGCCGAAUGAAGCCCUUAUCAAGCAAUUCCUGUAACUGAUCCUUCAAUUCCUUCAACUCAGGAGGGGCCAUACGGUACGGAGGAAUAGAAAUGGGUUGUGUGCCCGGUAAUAGAUCAAUGCAAAAAUAAUAUCCCUAUCGGGUGACAUACCCGGAAGAUCAGCUGGAAACACAUCGGUGAAGUCUCGUACUACUGGGACUGAAUCAACUAUUGGGAUAUCCAUACUAACAUCUCUCACAUAGGCCAGAUACGCAUCACACCCCUUCUCAAUCAUUCGCUGAGCCUUAAGGAAAGAAAUAACUCUACUGGGAGUAUGAUCAAAAAGUACCCCUCCACUAUACUCGUGACACACCUGGCAUAGCCAGCGUCACGGUUAUGGCGUGACAAUCAAGAAUAGUAUAAUGGGGCAAUAAUCAGUCCAUGCCCAAGAUAACAUCGAAAUCUACUAUACUAAGUAAUAAUAGAUCGGCUUUGGUCUCAAAACCACUAAGAGCAACCAAACAUGACUGAUAAAUGCGGUCCACAACAAGAGAAUCCUCCACAGGAGUAGAAACAUAAAUAGGGAAACUCAAAGAAUCCCGAGAUACGCCCAAAUGCGGGGGAAAAUAAGAAGACACAUAGGAAUAAGUGGAGCUUGGAUCGAAUAGAAUCGAUGCAUCUCUAUGACAAACCAGGACAAUACAUGUGAUAACAGAACCGAAGGUGACAACGUCAGUACGGGCAGGAAGAGCAUAAUAUCUGGCCUGGCCUCCCCCUCUAGGGUGACCUGUACCUCCCCGACCUCCACCUUUAGCGGGCUGAGCAGAUGGGAAAGCAACUGGUGCUGGAACCAUAGCCUUGGAACUCUGUGGGGCACGUUGUGGCUGAGUAGUCUAUGGAGGUGCAACCCUCCUAAGUCUGGGGAAAUCCCUCACCAUAUGGCGUGUGUCACCACACUCAAAACAAGCUAUGGGAGGACGUAGUGGCUGUGACUGGCUCGGGCCAGGUCUGCUGGACAGAAAACUGAAAGUACCUCGUGCAGGAGGCACACUAGAUACUGGAGGUGCAUAAUAAGGCUCCUGAGGUCUAGAAAGAGCUGGAAUACCACUUGCUAUUGGAAGAUCUGAAUGAACGAGGCGACUCAUAUAAACCCUACCAUGACGAACUGCAGCUAGAGCACGGGUACCAAAAUAAUGGCCCGACUAUGAGACCUUUUGGCCUCCCUCUCCUCUCUAUCCCAAGCAUGCAUACCCUCCACUCUCCUAGCAAUGCUCACCGUCUACUGAUAAGAAAUAUUCAUCUCCAACUCACGAGCCAUGCUAGAUCCGAUGCUGGGAAUGAGCCCCUCAAUAACCCAGCGAACUCUCUCAUGAAUUGUAGCAACCAAGGCUGGUGCAUGCCUAGCCAAGUUAGUAAAACAGACAUAAUACUCCAAAACAGUCAUAGUGCCCUGGCGCAAAUGCUCAAACUCUAUGCGUCACGCCUCACUAAGGCUCUUAGGGACGAACUCUCUCAGGAACAUAUCUGAAAACCGAGUCCAAGUACGGGAUGCUGCCUCAGCUGGACUAUCCAACUCAAAAGUACACCACCACUGGUAGGCUGCUCCUCGAAGCUGGAAGGCAGUGAAAGAAACCCCACUCGAUCCUGAUAUACCUAUAAUGUAGAAGAUAUGGUAACACUCCUCCAGAAAUCCCAGGGCAUCAUCUGAUGCUAAACCACUGAAUAUAGGAGGCUUAUACUUCUUAAACAUCUCAAACCUCCGUUGCUCAUCCUCUAAAGUUGCUGCCCUGUCCUUAGGCUGAACUGGGGCUGCAGGCGGAAUCGGUAUAACCUCUGGGAUCUGAUCAACCUGGACCCGCUGCUCAGGAGUGCGGGCGGCGGGAGUUUGUACUCCUCCCUCGACCUGAGAUGUGGUUGCAGCAAGGGGAAUCAACCCUGCCUGUGCUAGGGUGGUGUACAUACUCACGAACUGUGCAAGAGUCUCCUGAAGAGCUGGAAUAGUAGUAGCAGUAGGCGUAUCAGGUGCCUGGACUCCGGCUGGAGCUGCUGAUGGCUCCUUUAUGGCAGUUCGUGCGGGUGCUCUGGCUGCACCAUGAGCGCGUCCUCAACCUCUACCCCGGCCCCGACCUCUGACGGCUCUAGCAGGGGGCGCGGGUGCCUGGUCAUCUCUAGUAGCACGUGUCCUCACUGUCUGUGAGAGAAUAGAAGACAAAAGUUUCGAAUUGUGAUACCAAAAUCUCGCGCGACAAGGAAUCAAAUGAAGUGGAAUUUUCCUAGCAGUUACAUAGCCUCUUGUGGAUAAGUACAGAUGUAUUCGUCUACGAGACUCUAAUAAAUUGGCUUGUGAUUUAUGACUCCUAUGAACCUAGAGCUCUGAUACCAACUUGUCACGACCCAAGUUUGCCCUUCAUGAUCUGUCGUGACGGCACCUAGUCUGUACGACUAGUUAAGCCUAAUAAUUUGCGGAAAAAGAAAAGCAAAAGAUGAAACUAGCCAGAAACUGCGGAUAAAACAUAAAUAAAAUGUUUAAGAUGCCGCUCGGCAUAUACAAAUAUAAACUCUCAAACUGAAUCAACUCCCAAAAUCCAAAAUCUCAUGAAAUCACAAGCUAUUGAAUCACUUCAAGUGUUCUAACUCCAGAAUGUCUAAACAAAAGUAAAUACAGGAGAGCAAAAUCUAGAGAGGAGAAUAGAGAGGGACUCCAGGUAUACCUUGAAACCCCAGAAGGUCGCCUCGCCUCACUGAUGGUAUGGCUGAGCCACAGAACCUGGAUUUGCACAGAAAAAACAUGCGCAGGAAGGGCAUGAGUAUACCACAGCGGUACUCAAUAAGUUUCAAGCCUAACCUCGGUCGAGUAGUGACGAGGAAGGUCAGGGCCCUACUGAUUAUAAAUGAAAAACAAGGUAAAACAGUAUAGAAUAUGACAAUAUAAUUAAAAUGCUAACAGGCUAUAAUGAAUAAAAUCACAAAAAAGAAUCUAACUCGGUACACAGAAAUAGCAACAGGGGAUCCCCCGGGAUAUUGUCCCGUUGUCCCAAACAUAAAUGUCCAGAGGAUCUCCUGGGAUAUCGUCCCGUAGUCCAAAUCAUAAAUGUGCAAGGGAAACUCCCGGAAUACCAAUCUGUAGUCCCAAAGUAAAUCUCCAGUAUGAGGAAUCUACCGGAUGUUGUCCCGAAGUCCCAAUCAUAAAUGUGUGGGAGGGGGGAGAAUCUACCGGAAUAUCGAUCCAUAGUCCCAAAGUAAACAAGUAGGGGGAUCUCCUGGGAUAUUGUCCAGUAGACCCAAAGUAAACACACAACCAUCUCAGAAGAAUAUACAGUUCUAUUCAAGAAUUAAAUCGAAAAUUUCUACUCUAACAUGCUGCACAGAAUACAAGUAGGCAAUUAAAGCAGGUAAGACAAUUAAGUCACGUAAACAUGCUUUUCCUAAUCUAAACAGGAGGUUUCAAGUAAAAGUAUUUGUUAAAUUACAAUAAACAUAGGUAUUAGCUUAAUGUUAACGGGAUUUUCAACAAUUAGCACGUGUACGCACUCGUCACCUUAUGUACACGUCACUCAUAUAACAAAAUACCAAAUCCUAAGGGGAGUUCCCCCACACAAGGUAAGGCAAUCCACUUACCUCGAAUCAGCUCAAUCAACUCGAAAUCACUUUCUUGCCAUGAGUACCCGACUCCAAAUGACCUAAAUCUAUUCAAAGUAAUUGCAUAAUGUAAAUAUAACUACAAACAACUAAUUUAGUUAAUGAAAUCGAAGCUAAGACAAGAAAAUAGAAAAACACCCAAAAAUCCUCCCCGAGCCCACGUCUCAGAAUCGGGUAAAAGUUACGGAUUAUAAAGCCUCAUUCACUCAUAAGUCUAACCAUACCAAAAUUACUCCAACCCGAUACCAAAAUCUUGAUCAAAACCCUAACAUUAGGCCUAAGAACUUUUUAAAAAUUUUCCUCAAUUUCUCACCCUAAAUCUGAAAUUAAAUGAUGAAUUCAUGUUUAGAUUAAUGGGUUAUAAGCAAAAAAAAGUUAAUAAUCAUUACCCCCAAAUUUCCUCCGAAAAUCCUUCCAAAAUUCGUCUCCUACUGAACUCCCAAUUCAAUUUUGUGAUAUGAACUCAAAGCUCUCGAUUUUGAACUUUAUGUUGUGCCUAGACGCGACCUAAAUCGCGAUCACGAAGAGAAACUUUGCUAGCUCCCAGAUUUACCUUACGUGAUACUCUUUAUGCAAACACAAUGCUUGCACUGCUCAGGUCUACGCGAUCGCGGUUUACCUCACGCGAUCGCGAAAAGAAACUCCCAUACCACAGAUGCCUCACUUCUUCCCCUACGCGAAUGCGGCAUAGCCCACGCGUUCGCGGUUCAACCUUCUAACAAUACUACGCGUUCGCAUUCGUUUUCCCGCGAUCGCGUAGAACAAAGUUCCCUCUACCUCAGCUAAGCCUUUUCGAUCACGAGCCUCCUCACUCGAUCGUGAUGAAGGGAAGUCUACAACAGAAAAAUCUGAUCUUUCUCCAAGUCCAAAAAUGGUCCGUUGAGCAUCCGAAACAUACCCGAGGCCCCCAGGACCUCAACCAAACACACCAACCAAUCCUAAAACAUCAUACGAGCUUAGUCCAAUCCCUAAAUCACAUCAAACAACGCUAAAGCCACGAAUCAUCCUCCAAUCCAAACCUAAAGAACUUGAAAUUUUAAGAAUCCUACAACCAAUGUUGAAACUAACCGAACAAAGUCCGAUUGACCCCAAAUUUUGGACACAAGUCGCAUUCAACACUACAGAGCUAUUCCAACUUUCGAAAUUGGAUCCCGACCCCGAUAUCAAAAUCUCACUAUUGAUCCGGAAACUGCAAAAAUUCAACUUUCGGCAUUUCAAGUCUAAAUAAGCUACGGGCCUCUAAAAUACAAUCCGAACACGCCCUUAAGUCUGAAAUCACCCAACGGAGCUAACGGAAUUGACGGAAUUCUAUUCCAAGGUUAUCUUCAUACUGCUCCAACUACGGUCCAAAUUCUAAAGCUUAAACUCUUAUUAGGGACUAAGUGUCCCAAAACACUCCAAAACUCAAAAUGAAUCAUCCCGGCAAAUCAAAGUAGUAGAAAUAAAUACGGGGAAAGCAGUUAAUAGGGGAUCGGAGCAAUAAUUCUUAAAACGACCGGUCGGAUCGUUACAAAGAGCUAGAUCUUCUCUGAAAUGAAUAUAAGUAUAAUUAUUUAAUAAGUACUAUUAUAAAUAGAUAUUAAUUGAUAAAAUAUUUCUAUUGAGUAGCUAAUCUUUUCUGUAUCAUUUCAAUUUUAUCGAAUAUCCCCGAAAAGACUCACUCGUUAAUUAAAUAGGAUUAGACUUGAAUUUUUGUAGCCCUUUUAGAAAUAUUGUUUAAUACUAGUUGGUCUGAUAAUCUCAAGGGUUAGACCAAGGUUGUCACUUCAAUUAAAAUAUUCACUAUAAUUAUAUGAAAAGUAGUUUAUAAAACUUAAACUAGAGGCAAAUGCAUAAGCUAUCCAUUAGACUUGUCCGCUUCUUUUACAUUAACACCUCACCGGACACCACAAUCGUAAUAAAUAUUUAUGAUUUACCUAUUAAACACAAAAUGACAUUUAUUCUUCUAGUUUUUGAGAUAUAAAAUUGUUAGCAAUUUUUUUUACAAAGAAGGUGAAUAAGAAUAUUAAAAAGAAAGAUAGAAAAUAUGUAAAAUUAAGUAAGGGGAGUAAAAUUUUUACACAUUAUCUAAUGAAGGAGUAAAGAGUGAUAUUGUCAAAUUAAUGCAAAUUGAAACGUUAGGAAAAGUAUUCAUCUACCCAUUUUGAAGUAAAUCAAAUUGUUACUUUAUUUAUACUAAAAAGUUUUCAUAUAUUAAAAGUACUAUUUUUUUAAAUACAUAUAAACCUAAUAUUUUUAACAACCUUACUACUAAUUACAGUAGAACCGCCCCUAGUAAUUAAUAGGUAGAUAUUGUAGCAAAUUAAAGGGAUGAAUGAAUCAAUGACAUGUACCAAUAGUUAUGAUCGCAAAUCCAAAAAAUAUAGAGCGAUCAAUUAGCAACAGGCAAAUAUUGUAGCAAAUUAAAGAAAUGAAUGAAACGACAAACAUGUGCUAAUGGAGGUGACAACAAAAAUAAAAAAUACAGGUCGACCAAUUAACAUGUGGAUAUUGUAGCAAAUUAUAGGGAUAGAUAAAACAAUGACAUGUACCAAUGGACAUGACCACAAAUUCAAAACAUAGAGGCUAAGCAAUUAACUUGCAGUAUUGCAGCAAAUUAAAAGGAAGAAUGAAAUAUUUUACAUGUGCUAAUGGACAUGACAACAAAUCCAAAAAUGUAGGACAACCAACAGACAAAUAUUGUAGCAAAUUAAAGGGACAAAUAUGCUAAUGGACAUGACCAAUAGACCCAAGAUAACGUUUUACAUAUGUUAGGGAAAGUAAUUAACACGCAAAUAUCGUAGCAAAUUAAAGGGACGAAUAAAAUGAUGUCAUGUGCCAAUAGACCCAAGAUAAUUAUGUAAAAGAAGAAAUCUAAAGGCUGCCAUUAGUGUAAUUUUUCAUUUUUAAUUCAUGUGAUAAGUAUAAGAUUUGAAAUGGAUCCCAACCUAACUAUUUAUGGACCACAUGAUACGAAUCUAAAGGAAAAAUUUGUCCAUUGUCCUAUUUAGUCGUCCCAAUUUAAUCUGUAUUUAUUUUUAUUUUUAUUUUUAACUUGUACUUAUUUUUUAAAAUCUAUAAUUGAUCGUAAAAUGGGUAGGCUUGCAAAUCUUUUUGCAAAAUGGGUAUAGUUUCAAUUGUGACCCUAAAAUCGGGUAUAAAUGCAAAAGCCCAUCUAAAAGGCAAUUGAACAUUUCUUGAGGGAAUAAGAGCCCGUUUGGAUGGGCUUAUUGUAAGUAACUUUUACGUCAAAUUAGUUUUUAAGACAUAAGUUAGGAAUUCUAGCUUUUGAUUUGUUUUUGUCAUUUUAGCUUAAAAAUAAGUGCUUCAAAGCACGUUUUUUACUUUAUCCAAAUACUACACAAUGGCUUAAAAGUUAUUUUGGCUUAACAACAACAACAACAACAACAACGACCCAGUAUAAUCUCAUAAGUGGGGUCUGGGGAGGGUAAUAUGUACGCAGACCUUACCCCUACCUCGAAGGGUAGAGAGGCUGUUUCCAGGAGACCCUCGGCUCAAAAAAACAAUAGGAGAUGAUAUAUUAGUACCAUAAAAAUGCGUAAUAAAAAUAACAACAAUAUAUAAGAG